ACGAAGGGUGCAAGCGUUUAUCGGAAUUACUGGGCGUAAAGCGUGCGUAGGCGGUUUCUUAAGUCCGUUGUGAAAGCCCUGGGCUCAACCUGGGAACUGCGAUGGAUACUGAGGAGCUGGAGUACGGUAGAGGAAGGUGGAAUUCCCGGUGUAGCGGUGAAAUGCGUAGAUAUCGUUUGGAACGCCAAUGGUGAAAACAGGUUGCUGGGAGUGUGCUGACGCUGAGACACGAAAGCCAGGGGAGCAAACGGGA
rnacentral:rRNA from 1 species